GACGGAGGGUGCAAACGUUGUUCGGAAUCACUGGGCAUAAAGCGCACGCAGGCGGCGAGCUAAGUCAGAUGUGAAAGCCCACGGCUCAACCGUGGAAUUGCAUUUGAAACUGGCUUGCUAGAGGACGGUUGAGGUGAGUGGAACUCCUGGUGGAGCGGUGAAAUGCGUAGAUAUCAGGAGGAACACCAGUGGCGAAAGCGGCUCACUGGACCGUAACUGACGCUCAGGUGCGAAAGCUAGGGUAGCGAACGGG
rnacentral:rRNA from 1 species